GAUGAACGCUGGCGGCGUGCCUAAUACAUGCAAGUCGAGCGAACAGACGAGGAGCUUGCUCCUCUGACGUUAGCGGCGGACGGGUGAGUAACACGUGGAUAACCUACCUAUAAGACUGGGAUAACUUCGGGAAACCGGAGCUAAUACCGGAUAAUAUAUUGAACCGCAUGGUUCAAUAGUGAAAGACGGUUUUGCUGUCACUUAUAGAUGGAUCCGCGCCGCAUUAGCUAGUUGGUAAGGUAACGGCUUACCAAGGCAACGAUGCGUAGCCGACCUGAGAGGGUGUUCGGCCACACUGGAACUGAGACACGGUCCAGACUCCUACGGGAGGCAGCAGUAGGGAAUCUUCCGCAAUGGGCGAAAGCUUGACGGAGCAACGCCGCGUGAGUGAUGAAGGUCUUCGGAUCGUAAAACUCUGUUAUUAGGGAAGAACAAAUGUGUAAGUAACUAUGCACGUCUUGACGGUACCUAAUCAGAAAGCCACGGCUAACUACGUG
rnacentral:rRNA from 1 species